CAGUCGAGCGAAUGGAUUAAGAGCUUGCUCUUAUGAAGUUAGCGGCGGACGGGUGAGUAACACGUGGGUAACCUGCCCAUAAGACUGGGAUAACUCCGGGAAACCGGGGCUAAUACCGGAUAACAUUUUGAACCGCAUGGUUCGAAAUUGAAAGGCGGCUUCGGCUGUCACUUAUGGAUGGACCCGCGUCGCAUUAGCUAGUUGGUGAGGUAACGGCUCACCAAGGCAACGAUGCGUAGCCGACCUGAGAGGGUGAUCGGCCACACUGGGACUGAGACACGGCCCAGACUCCUACGGGAGGCAGCAGUAGGGAAUCUUCCGCAAUGGACGAAAGUCUGACGGAGCAACGCCGCGUGAGUGAUGAAGGCUUUCGGGUCGUAAAACUCUGUUGUUAGGGAAGAACAAGUGCUAGUUGAAUAAGCUGGCACCUUGACGGUACCUAACCAGAAAGCCACGGCUAACUACGUGCCAGCAGCCGCGGUAAUACGUAGGUGGCAAGCGUUAUCCGGAAUUA
rnacentral:rRNA from 1 species